GGCGGUAUGCCUGGCAUGCAAGUCGAACGAGAAAGUUCCUUCGGGAGCAAUUAGAGUGGCGCAGUGGUGAGUAACGCGUAGACAAUCUGCCCUUCAGUCUGGGACAACUUUUCGAAAGGAGAGCUAAUACCGGAUAACAAUGUUUAACAUAAGUUAAGUAUUUGAAAGCUUUAUGUGCUGAAGGAGGGGUCUGCGUCCCAUUAGCUAGUUGGUAAGGUAAAGGCUCACCAAGGCAACGAUGGGUAGCGGGUUUGAGAGGACGAUCCGCCACACUGGAACUGAGACACGGUCCAGACUCCUACGGGAGGCAGCAGUGGGGAAUAUUGCACAAUGGAGGAAACUCUGAUGCAGCAAUGUCGCGUGAGUGAAGAAGGCCCUUGGGUCGUAAAGCUCUUUUAUGGGGGAAGAUGAUGACGGUACCCCAAGAAUAAGCACCGGCUAACUAUGUGCCAGCAGCCGCGGUAAUACAUAGGGUGCGAGCGUUGUUCGGAAUUACUGGGCGUAAAGGGCGCGCAGGCGGAAUAGUAAGUCGGAGGUGAAAGCCCGGGGCUCAACCCCGGAGGGUCUUUCGAAACUACUAAUCUAGAGAGGGUCAGGGGCCGGCAGAAUUCCUGGUGUAGAGGUGAAAUUCGUAGAUAUCAGGAGGAAUACCGGUGGCGAAGGCGGCCGGCUGGGGCCACUCUGACGCUGAGGCGCGAAAGCGUGGGGAGCAAACAGGAUUAGAUACCCUGGUAGUCCACGCCGUAAACGAUGAGCACUGGACGUCCGGAGGGUUCGACCCUUCUGGGUGUCUCAGCUAACGCAUUAAGUGCUCCGCCUGGGGAGUACGGUCGCAAGACUAAACCUCAAAAUGAAAUGCG
rnacentral:rRNA from 1 species